UUUUUUUAAACACUCUUUUAC
rnacentral:piRNA from 1 species